UGGCGACCUGAACAGAUGU
rnacentral:miRNA from 1 species